rnacentral:rRNA from 1 species
CCUGGCUCAGAUUGAACGCUGGCGGCAUGCUUUACACAUGCAAGUCGAACGGCAGCGGGGGCUUCGGCCUGCCGGCGAGUGGCGAACGGGUGAGUAACGCAUCGGAACGUGCCCAUGUCGUGGGGGAUAACGUAGCGAAAGCUACGCUAAUACCGCAUACGCCCUGAGGGGGAAAGCGGGGGAUUCUUCGGAACCUCGCGCGAUUGGAGCGGCCGAUGUCGGAUUAGCUAGUAGGUGAGGUAAAGGCUCACCUAGGCGACGAUCCGUAGCGGGUCUGAGAGGAUGAUCCGCCACACUGGGACUGAGACACGGCCCAGACUCCUACGGGAGGCAGCAGUGGGGAAUUUUGGACAAUGGGCGCAAGCCUGAUCCAGCCAUGCCGCGUGAGUGAAGAAGGCCU